rnacentral:rRNA from 1 species
AGCAGCCGCGGUAAUUCCAGCUCCAAUAGCGUAUAUUAAAGUUGUUGCAGUUAAAAAGCUCGUAGUUGAAUUUCGGGAUCAAGGAAUCGGUCAUGCCUUGGUAUGUACUGGUUUUAUUGGUUCUCACCUUCUAAAGAACCAUAAUGUCAUUCAUUUGAUGUUAUGGGGAAUUAGGACUGUUACCUUGAAAAAAUUAGAGUGUUUAAAGCAGGCUUACGCUUGAAUACAUUAGCAUGGAAUAAUGAAAUAGGACAUCAGAUUCUAUUUUGUUGGUUUCUAGGAUCGAUGUAAUGAUUAAUAGGGAUAGUUGGGGGCAUUAGUAUUCAAUUGUCAGAGGUGAAAUUCUUGGAUUUAUUGAAGACUAACUACUGCGAAAGCAUUUGCCAAGGAUGUUUUCGUUAAUCAAGAACGAAAGUUAGGGGAUCGAAGACGAUCAGAUACCGUCGUAGUCUUAACCAUAAACUAUGCCGACUAGGGAUCGGACGAAGUUAAUUUUUAAAUAGACUUAGUUCGGGAAACC